UAAAAACCUAAUUGUUUUGUAAAAGAAGGAUUGUUUUACAAUAUUUCAUUGUCUUGAUGCAAUAAUCACAGGAUAUUGGGCCAGACUGCAAUAUCAGAGCUAAAGCAAAUUAAAGAUGAAGUGGAAAAUAUUUUUAAAUGCUUCCCAUCUAAAAUGAGAGAAUUGAUGCAUGUGAAAUAAAAAGUAAUUGCUUUUGAUUCUAGAUUUUUAUGUAUUUUUACAUAUAAAUCUUCUUAUGAGUUUCGAGUGAAAAUUGUUCUUAACAAAACAACAACCUUAAGUGAGUUAAACUUCUAAAGUUUUUGUUUUUGUUUUUGUUUUUUAAAUAGACUGCACACCUAGCAUGGAGCCCAACGUGGAGCUUAAAGUCACAACCCUGAGAUCAAGACCUGAGCUGAGAUCAAGAGUUAGAUGAUCGAGGCGCCCCAAAUGCUGAAGAGAGUACGCUGGAUGAGAAACACAUAUACCCCAAUAACUGGAAAAGUAUAUCCUCCUUCUUCAAGUUGCGCUGAGGAUAAAAUUCAAACCCCACCAAGAUCGCACAGACCUUACGAUCUGGCGACUACGGAUUUCUCCAAGCUCAACUCCCAAUACUGCCCCCCUUCACUGUAAGUUGUAGUCACACUGGUUCCUUUCCAUUUCUGAAACACUCCAAAAUUUUCCCUGCCUACAGCCUUUGCCCUUCUAGUUUACCUGAGAGCAAUGCUUUUCCUCAGAUCCCCCUAUGGCUGGUUACUUCUUACCAAUCCUGUCUCAGCUAAAUGUCACCUCCCCACACAGGCUUUCUGUGAUCUCUGUGCCUACCAUUGCAACCCUUCCCCUUUUAUGCCCCCCCACCACCACCACGGUCCCUAGCUAUCCCUUAGCCUGUCUUAUCACUAUAUAAUCUCUUGUUUACUUUUUUAUUAUCUGAUUCCCAAACUGGAAUAAAAGUCCAACAUAGCUGCAGCCCCAGCAAUGACCACAGAGUUAAUACUCAAUAAAUACUUGUGAAAUCAAGUGAAUGGGAUGGGGCGAGAAAUGACAUAUGAACUGCUCUGCACUAGAGAGAAGAGAUACAAAUAGGGAGUGCGAUCUGAGAUAAAUGGAACCUUCCCUUGUGCCCACAAUGUAACUUCUACAAAGCACCAUUAAAGUACCAGUCAUUGCA